rnacentral:rRNA from 1 species
GAUGAACGCUGGCGGCGUGCCUAAUACAUGCAAGUCGAGCGAACGGACGAGAAGCUUGCUUCUUUGAUGUUAGCGGCGGACGGGUGAGUAACACGUGGAUAACCUACCUAUAAGACUGGGAUAACUUCGGGAAACCGUAGCUAAUACCGGAUAAUAUUUUGAACCGCAUGGUUCAAAAGUGAAAGACGGUCUUGCUGUCACUUAUAGAUGGAUCCGCGCUGCAUUAGCUAGUUGGUAAGGUAACGGCUUACCAAGGCAACGAUGCAUAGCCGACCUGAGAGGGUGAUCGGCCACACUGGAACUGAGACACGGUCCAGACUCCUACGGGAGGCAGCAGUAGGGAAUCUUCCGCAAUGGGCGAAAGCCUGACGGAGCAACGCCGCGUGAGUGAUGAAGGUCUUCGGAUCGUAAAACUCUGUUAUUAGGGAAGAACAAACGUGUAAGUAACUGUGCACGUCUUGACGGUACCUAAUCAGAAAGCCACGGCUAACUACGUG